rnacentral:rRNA from 1 species
AAAGACAAAAAAUUUUUCUAAUUCUUCUUAAUUAUCAUCUAUAUAUUGAUCUAUCAUUAAAUUUAAAUUAAAUAUGUUAAAUUACAUUCAAAUAAUUCAUUAACAACUAUAUAUAAAAAAUAAAUUAAAUGAAAUUCAAAGUGUAAUUUCCACUUAAAGAACAAGAUUCUUUAAUAAUUAAGUACCGCCAAAUAAACUAACUUUAACUAUUACAUUAAUUACUAUUUAAAUUUCAUUAAUUUUUCUAGGGUAUCUAAUCCUAUUAACUUAAAUUAAUUAAAAUUGAAAAUUCAUAAUCAAAUUAAAAUCUAAAAAUUUCACUUAAAUAUUUUAAUUAAAAUCAAACCUAAAUUUCAAGUACAAAGAAAUUUUAAUUUCACCAAUCAUGUAUAAC